CUCGUCGUAUUUCUAGCAGCGG
rnacentral:siRNA from 1 species